AAGCACCAACGGAAAGAGAGAAGCAGAGAAGCAACACGAGUGGCUGGCAAAACACACUUGUGCAGUGUGGCCUGUUGGAUUUGUUGUUUCUUCGUUUCUCUUCUUCUUGUUCUUUUUCUUUUUCGUCUUCUUCUUCUUCUCGUAA
rnacentral:ribozyme from 1 species